CCGGCAUACUGUGUGUGUGCUGUCCUCAGAUGUAAAAUAUUCCACGGGAUUUAUAUUAGCCAGCACGGAACUCUUAUUCAAGCUGGCUAAUGACACUUAAUGGUGCAGCUGGAGGUAGAGUUACACCUCUUGCAACAGAGUGGUUAAUAUCUGUAUGUGCAGCACUUCAUACCAAUGCUGCUCAUACAGACUCCAGGCACCAUGACUACUUCAAAUCACUGAUGUGGUCAUAGUGCAAGAAGUAACCUUUUAAAAAGGUUUCCAUUUAAAUUAAUGGGAGUCCAGGGAUAGCCCAGCACUAACAUCCUGGAUGAUACUAUGGGUAGUGCAGAAGGAGCAGAACCUCUUAGAAGACCACCAAAAGAGUGACAUGUGGAGAAAACUCUUAUGUAUGUAUUUCUUAAUUUAAGGUGCAUAUUUUUGGCAUCCUGGACAGUCAGAGCAAUACUAUUUUUACACGUAGGAGAACAUAAUUUAGUUCUAAAUUAAAUUUAAACCUAUAUUAACAAGCAAAAC